GAAACUCAAAUGAAUUGACGGGGCCCGCACAAGCGGUGGAGCAUGUGGUUAAUUCGAUGCAACGCGAAAACCUUACCUGCCCUUGACAUCCUCGGAACUUGUCAGAGAUGACUUGGUGCCUUCGGGAACCGAGAGACAGGUGCUGCAUGGCUGUCGUCAGCUCGUGUCGUGAGAUGUUGGGUUAAGUCCCGUAACGAGCGCAACCCUUGUCAUUAGUUGCUACGAAAGGGCACUCUAAUGAGACUGCCGGUGACAAACCGGAGGAAGGUGGGGAUGACGUCAAGUCCUCAUGGCCCUUAUAGGUGGGGCUACACACGUCAUACAAUGGCUGGUACAAAGGGUUGCCAACCCGCGAGGGGGAGCCAAUCCCAUAAAGCCAGUCGUAGUCCGGAUCGCAGUCUGCAACUCGACUGCGUGAAGUCGGAAUCGCUAGUAAUCGUGGAUCAGCAUGUCACGGUGAAUACGUUCCCGGGUCUU
rnacentral:rRNA from 1 species